ACUCAUACCUUGUAGGGGAAAUGCCAUGUUGUAAAAAUUGUUUUCCCAGGCUCAUCCAUUGCACUUUGAGUGUCCUGUUGAUCCCUGUGAUUUCCCCAAAUGUGGGGAACUCAACUACAUAGUUUGUGAUAAUGGGGGCAUUAUGUUUGUGAUUUCUCUG
rnacentral:snRNA from 1 species